rnacentral:lncRNA from 1 species
UCAGAGAUCCAAAAUGCAGAAACUAGAUGACUGACUUAUGAGACUGGUUGAUCUUGACUGUGGAUAUUAGAAAACUUAAAAUAGGGGAGACUUUCAAAUGGAAUUGAGGUGAAGUAUGUGUGCAACCAGUGUAAGGAGCAGAUGUUUGCAGAUAUUUCUUUUAUUUUUAUUUUUGAAACGGAAUCUCACACUGUUGCCCAGGCUGCAGUACAGUGCUGUGAUGUGGGCUCACUGCAGCCUCCAACUCCCAGGCUCAAGUGAUCCUCCCGCUUCAGCCUCCUGAGUAGCUGGAGCUAUAGGUGUGUGCCACAAUGCUCCGCUAAUUUUUUGCAUUUUUUGUAGAGGUGGAGUCUCCCUGUGUUGCCCAAACUGAUCUCAAACUCCUGGGCUCAAGCAAUCCUCCUGCCUCUGCCUCCCAAAAUUCCAAGAUUACAGGCAGGAGUCACCAUGACAAGCCUGCAGAUAUUUCAAAUCCAUCUGGGUUUCUGCUUCUCCUCAUCUUUCUUGUCUCAUUAGACAUACCUUUUAAACUCUAUUUGGCAUUUCCUUAUUUUUCCAUAGGGCCACCCCUGAAUCAGCAAUUUUGUAAAGUUGUACUCAACCGAUGCUCAAAACUAGACUCUUCUCCACUUGUGAUUGAGCAUGUAAUUUGACCUAACAGUGCUGGACCCAAGGAAGUUGAGAUUGUUCUUGGCAGUGUCUUUGGUGCCAAAAUGUUGGAAGAAUCUGGGCCCAUUUCCAGCACUAAUGGGCAAUUGUUGAAAGUCACCAGAUCCCACAAGGGUAAAAGCAGCAUUACCAGCAGAGAUGGACAAACAUGUCCAAACUGGGUAAGCAGGUGACAUCUCCCAUCAUCCUAAUAAUCACUGCUUAAUAUGGGAUGUGGGUUGUAAGAAUGACAGGAGACGGGCUGAACCCAGAGGGGCUGGGCUGUGCGGAGACGGAUAUAAAUGAUUGUAUUAGGACUUUUCAAAAUCAAGGGAAUUCCCUUCUCUUGACAAGGACUAGGUGUUAAAUUAUGCAAUGCAGUGGACAUUUCAGCCUUCUCAGAGAACAAAGAACAGUUCUGCCCCUUUAGUCUCUACUCAAAACAAUUGCACCCAACAUUCACAUAUUAUUUUGUUUCAGCCCAGCCUUCAGCUUGUGUGACUGGCCAACUGCCCUAAAAUCAUCUAACACAUGAAUUCUUUUUAUUUUAUUUUUAUUAUUUAUUUAUUUUUUUUCUUUUGAGAUGGAGUUUCACUCUUGUUGCCCAGGCUGGAGUGCAGUGUCACAAUCUCGGCUCACUGCAACCUCUGCCUCCUGGGUUCAAGCGAUUCUCCUGCCUCAGCCUCCCGAGUAGCUGGGAUUACAGGUGUGCACCACCACGCCUGGCUAAUUUUUGUAUUUUUAGUAGAGAUGAGGUUUCUCCAUGUUGGUCAGGCUUAUUUAAUCUCAAUUACCUCCUUAAAGGCCUUAUCUCUAAAUACAGUCACAUUUGGGAUUAAGGCUUCGACAUAUAAAUUUUGGGGGAAUGCAGUUCAGUCUGUAACACCAUGCCUCACCCCAGAUCAAUUAAAAUUUGGAGGAGGAGGCUGGGAGCGGUGGCUCACGCCUGUAAUCCCAGCACUUUGGGAGGCCAAGGUGGUGGUAUGCAACUGUAGUCCCAGCUACUCAGGAGGCUGAGGUAGGAGAAACACUUGAACCCAGGAGGCGGAGGUUGCAGUGAGCCGAGAUUGCGCCACUCACUCCAGCCUGGCGACAGGGCGACAGUGUGAGACUCUGUCAAAAAAAAAAAAAAAUUUGGAGAAGGAGGGCAAGCAUUGGUACCUUUUCUUUUUUCUUUUCUUUUCUUUCUUUUUUUUUUUUUUUUUGAGACACGGUUUCACAGUGUUGCCCAGGCUGGAAUGCAGUGGCAUGAUCACAGCUCACUGCCUCCCAUCUCAGCUACCUGAGUAGCUAGGACCACAGGCAUGCACCACCAUGCUCAGCUAAUUUUUUUUUAAAUUUUUUGUAGAGACAGGGGUCUCACUAUGCUGCCCAAACUGGUCUGGAACUCCUGGGCUCAAGCAAUCUGCCCACCUCGACCUCCCAAAGUGCUGGGAUUACAGGCAUUAGCCACCGUGCCCAGCCAGCAUUGGUACUUUUAAAAGAGUUCUCCAGGCUUGGCCAAGCAUGAUGGCUCAUGCCUGUAAUCCCAGCACUUUGGGAGGCUAAGGCAAGAGGAUCACUUCAGGUCAGGAGUUUUGAGACCAGCCUGGCCAACAUGGCAAAACCCAGUCUCUACUAAAAAUACAAAAAUUAGCCAGGCGUGGUGGCAGGCACCUGUAGUCCCAGCUACUCGGGAGGCUGAGGCAGGAGAAUCGCUUGAACCUGGGAGGAGGAAGUUACAGUGAGCUGAGAUGGUGCCACUGUAGUCCAGCCUGGGCGACACAGUCAGACUCCAUCUCAAAAAAAAAAAAAAAAAAAAAAAAAAUGAGCCCUCCGGGGUUAAGAACCACUCAUAAAGCAUGAGCUUUGAAGACAAUCCCACACUCCCCUUGGGCUUCUGCUAUUUCCCAUGUACCUAGGAAAGUGCCCUGAGCUCUGAGUUUAGGUUCCUCUCCUAUAAAAUGGGAGUACUAUUAGCACACAGGGUUCAUGUGAGAAUUAAAUGAGAUACUGCAGACAAAGCACUUCACACCUGCCAGGCUGUCGCAGGUACUAUACAAUGGCAGUUCCCACUCAGCUACUCCUGCCAUGAAGAAGGAGACAGAGAGAUUUUCCUGAGGCAGCAGGCAACAGUUGGAAGAAAAGGGGAGCAGGAAAGGGUGUUUGUGUGAGGAAGGUUAUCCUUUGCGUGAGGAAGCACAAUUAAGUAAACUGAAUGUUGAAAGAGAACAAGAGGCUGGGCGUGGUGGCUCAGGCCUGUAAUCCCAGGACUUCGGGAAGCUCAGGUGGGCGGAUCACCUGAGGUCAGGAGUUGGAGACCCAUCUGGCCAACAUGGCGAAACCCCGUCUCUACUAAAAAUACAAAAAAUUAGCCUGGCGUGGUGGUGCACGCCUGUCGUCCCAGGUACUCGGGAGGCUGAGGCAUGAGAAUUGCUUGAACCCGGGAGGCAGAGGUUGCAGUGAGUCGAGAUCGCGCCACUGCACGCCAGCCUGGGCGACAUAGCAAGACUCUGUCUGAAAAAGAAAAGAAGGCCAGGCACAGUGGCUCACGCCUAUAAUCCCAGCACUUAGGGAGGCCAAGUCAGGUGGAUCACGAGGUCAGGAGUUCAAGACCCGCCUGACCAAUAUGGUGAAACCUUGUCUCUACUAAAAAUACAAAAAUUAGCUGGGCAUGGUGGUGCAUACCUGUAGUCCCAGCUACUCAAGAGGCUGAGGCACGAGAAUCGCUUGAACCCGGGAGGUGGAGGUUGCAUAGAGCCGAGAUUGCGCCAUUACACUCCAGCCUGGGCAACAGAGCGAGACUCUGUCUCAAAAAAAAAAAAAGAGAAGGAGAUAUGUUUACAGAUUUAGGCGUCUUCUUCCCUACUCGGGAAUAAAGAGGCAGUUUUCUUGCUGGGCAUCAGGUGGCGCCAGCAACCUACAGACAAGAAUUUCAACUGUGGCCGGGAAAGUGGAUGAGGAAGGACAGUUGAGUCCCAGGUCUCCCUGAUGCAGCUGCCACUUUGUCUAGACAGAGAGUCUUCAAUCAUUUGUCUAAAUUUCAGUUAACCCAUGAAAUUCAGUAUGUGGACUAAUCCACCUCCUCUAGAUUUUUUCUAAUUAUUUUGAUAUCAAGAGAUAUGUAUAAACAUGCAUACUCUUAUGUUUGUGGUGUUUUCUUAGACUGGCCGAAGAUAUUCUCUUUCAUUGCAGUCAUAGGAUUAUUCCCUGAGACGAAUUAUUUGAUAUUGUCAUAAAGAUUGACCUAGGCCAGACAGCAUUUACCCAUCUGUUACAUUCAAACAGUUUCUCUCUGAUAUGAAUUAUCUGGGGUAGAGUAAGGCAUGAACUAUAAUUGCAGGACUUCCAAUAUUUAUGUCACUCACAGGUUUUCUCCCCAGAGGUAAUUCUUUGAUGUGGACGAAGAUUUGAGCUCUGAUUAAAGGCUGACCACAUUCAAUAAAUUAUGGGAUUUCUCUCCUGAGCAAAUUCGGUGAUGUAGAAUAAGAUGAGGAUUCUGAGGAAAGGCUUUCCUGCAGUCUUUACAUUCAAAGGAUUUCUCUUCUAACAUGAAGUCUCUAGUAAGGCUAAAUUAUAGCUAAAUAUUUACCUGCACUCCUUACUUUUUUUUUUUUUUUUUUUCCUUGAGACAGAGUUUCGCUCUUGUUGCCCAGGCUGGAGUGCAAUGGCGCAAUCUCGGCUCACUGCAACCUCCACCUCCCGGGCUCAAGGAGCUCUCCUGCCUCAGCCUCCCGAGUAGCUGGGAUUACAGGCACGCACCACCACGCCUCGCUAAUUUUUUUUUGUAUAUAUAUAUAUUUUUUGUUUGUUUGUUUGAGACAGAGUCUCGCACUGUUGCCCAGGCUGGAGUGCAGUGGCAUGAUCUCAGCUCACUGCAAGCUCCGCCUCCGGGUUCACGCCAUUCUCUGCCUCAGCCUCCCGAGUAGCUAGGACUACAGGCACCCACCACCACGCCUAGCUACUUUUUUGUAUUUUUAAUAGAGACGGGUUAGCCAGGAUGGUCUCGAUCUCCUGACUUCGUGAUCUGCCUGCCUCGGCCUACCAAAGUGCUGGGAUUACAGGCGUGAGCCACUGCGCCAGGCCAUUUUUUUCUAUUUUUAGUAGAGAUGGAGAUUCACCAUGUUGGCCAGGCUGGUCUCAAACCCCUGACCUCGGGUGAUCCGCCCAUCUGGGCUUUCCCAAAGUGCUGGGAUUACAGGCGUGAGCCACUGCAUCUGGCCGACACUCCUUACUUUCACAGGGUU